rnacentral:misc_RNA from 1 species
GUGAAUCAUCGAAUUUUUGAACGCAAAUUGCACUCUCUGGUAUUCCGGAGAGUAUGCCUGUUUGAGGGUCAUUAGAAUAAAAAAUCGAGGCUUCGCUCUUUUUUUUAUGGGAUAUGGCGUCGUAGUUGUGCGGUCUUUCAAAUUUCAAGACAUGUCAAAUUGGCUUAAAUUUCAUCCACCUGGUGCGAUU